rnacentral:rRNA from 1 species
UACGUAGGCAGCGAGCGUUGUUCGGAAUUACUGGGCGUAAAGAGUGUGUAGGCGGUGCUCUAAGUAUGGUGUGAAAUCUCCCGGCUUAACUGGGAGGGUGCGCUAUAGACUGUGGGACUAGAGUGUGGGAGAGGAAAGUGGAAUUCCUGGUGUAGCGGUGAAAUGCGUAGAUAUCAGGAGGAACACCGGUGGUGUAAACGGCUUUCUGGACCAUAACUGACGCUGAGGCACGAAAGCGUGGGUAGCAAACAGG